AUUGAACGCUGGCGGCAGGCCUAACACACGCAAGUCGAACGAGUGGCGGACGGGUGAGUAAUGUCUGGGAAACUGCCUGAUGGAGGGGGAUAACUACUGGAAACGGUAGCUAAUACCGCAUACCAUCGGAUGUGCCCAGAUGGGAUUAGGUAGUAGGUGGGGUAAUGGCUCACCUAGGCGACGAUCCCUAGCUGGUCUGAGAGGAUGACCAGCAACACUGGAACUGAGACACGGUCCAGACUCCUACGGAAGGCAGAAGUGGGGAAUAUUACACAAUGGGCGCAAGCCUGAGGCAGCCAUGCGGCGGGGAGGAAGAAGGCCUUCGGGUUGUAAAGUACUUUCAGCGGGGAGGCGGUACCCGCAGAAGAAGCACCGGCUAACUCCGUGCCAGCAGCCGCGGUAAUUC
rnacentral:rRNA from 1 species